GGCCACCAUGGCUUCGAAGGGGAGCCGGCCUGAGAGGGCGACCGGCCACAUUGGGACUGAGAUACGGCCCAGACUCCUACGGGAGGCAGCAGUGGGGAAUAUUGCACAAUGGGCGCAAGCCUGAUGCAGCGACGCCGCGUGCGGGAUGACGGCCUUCGGGUUGUAAACCGCUUUUGACUGGGAGCAAGCCCUUCGGGGUGAGUGUACCUUUCNAAUAAGCACCGGCUAACUACGUGCCAGCAGCCGCGGUAAUACGUAGGGUGCAAGCGUUAUCCGGAAUUAUUGGGCGUAAAGGGCUCGUAGGCGGUUCGUCGCGUCCGGUGCGAAAGUCCAUCGCUUAACGGUGGAUCCGCGCCGGGNACGGGCGGGCUUGAGUGCGGNAGGGGAGACUGGAAUUCCCGGUGUAACGG
rnacentral:rRNA from 1 species